rnacentral:misc_RNA from 2 species
AAAUCUCACCGCAGUGGAGCUUUUCGGAGCUCCGCUUUUGAGUGGAUUUGGAUGCUUUGUUUCGACAAUCGUCUUAAAAUGAUAGUGUGUGCAUCCAUCGACUAUUCCUUGGGUUACCAAAGUGCAACAGAUUUUUCUAUUUCGCUUUGACAGCUCUUGGGGUUGGACGGAAGCAUAUACCCAACUUCUUAACAACUGUUUUGCCCUUGGGUAAAACAUUUGAUA